AGAGUUUGAUCCUGGCUCAGGAUGAACGCUGGCGGCAUGCCUAAUACAUGCAAGUCGAACGAGAGGAAGGAAAGCUUGCUUUCCUAAAUCUAGUGGCGAACGGGUGAGUAACACGUAGGUAACCUGCCCAUGUGCCCGGGAUAACUUCUGGAAACGGAUGCUAAAACCGGAUAGGUAGCAGACAAGCAUUUGACUGCUAUUAAAGUGGCUAAGGCCAUGAACAUGGAUGGACCUGCGGUGCAUUAGCUAGUUGGUGAGGUAACGGCCCACCAAGGCGACGAUGCAUAGCCGGCCUGAGAGGGCGGACGGCCACAUUGGGACUGAGACACGGCCCAAACUCCUACGGGAGGCAGCAGUAGGGAAUUUUCGUCAAUGGGGGGAACCCUGAACGAGCAAUGCCGCGUGAGUGAGGAAGGUCUUCGGAUCGUAAAGCUCUGUUGUAAGAGAAAAACGGCACUCAUAGGGAAUGAUGAGUGAGUGAUGGUAUCUUACCAGAAAGUCACGGCUAACUACGUGCCAGCAGCCGCGGUAAUACGUAGGUGGCGAGCGUUAUCCGGAAUGAUUGGGCGUAAAGGGUGCGUAGGUGGCAGAUCAAGUCUGGAGUAAAAGGUAUGGGCUCAACCCGUACUUGCUCUGGAAACUGAUCAGCUAGAGAACAGAAGAGGACGGCGGAACUCCAUGUGUAGCGGUAAAAUGCGUAGAUAUAUGGAAGAACACCGGUGGCGAAGGCGGCCGUCUGGUCUGGAUUCUGACACUGAAGCACGAAAGCGUGGGGAGCAAAUAGGAUUAGAUACCCUAGUAGUCCACGCCGUAAACGAUGAGAACUAGGUGUUGGGGGAAUAACUCAGUGCCGCAGUUAACGCAAUAAGUUCUCCGCCUGGGGAGUAUGCACGCAAGUGUGAAACUCAAAGGAAUUGACGGGGGCCCGCACAAGCGGUGGAGUAUGUGGUUUAAUUCGACGCAACGCGAAGAACCUUACCAGGGCUUGACAUUGAGCGCCAUACUAAGAGAUUAGUAGUUCCCUUCGGGGACGUGAAAACAGGUGGUGCAUGGCUGUCGUCAGCUCGUGUCGUGAGAUGUUGGGUUAAGUCCC
rnacentral:rRNA from 1 species